UACGGGGGGGGCAAGCGUUGUUCGGAAUUACUGGGCGUAAAGGGCUCGUAGGUGGCCAACUAAGUCAGACGUGAAAUCCCCAGGCUCAACUUGGGAACUGCGUCUGAUACUGGAUGGCUUGAAUUCGGGAGAGGGAUGCAGAAUUCCAGGUGUAGCGGUGAAAUGCGUAGAUAUCUGGAGGAACACCGGUGGCGAAGGCGGCAUCCUGGACCAACACUGACGCUGAGGAGCGAAAGCCAGGGGAGCAAACGGG
rnacentral:rRNA from 1 species